rnacentral:lncRNA from 7 species
AAGUGAUUAGGGGAGAACCUGCUAAUUCAUACUUGUAACUUGCUUAUGUCCUCGUGCUAAUUGAGUGGACUAAUUUGCAUAGUUCAGAAUUCAAUUGUAUUAUGGGGGCUGCAGGAACUAGUCCUGAAUCUUGUAGCUGCUGGAUAAAUCAUAAAAUCCUGUAUGUAAAAUACAGAGAAAUGAGCAUUCUUGCACGAUGGUUAUUGUUAUUAUUGAUGUGUAGAGGUAAUGCAUCAAAAGCAGUAUCUAAAUCUGGAGUUAAUACUGCACCAUACAAAUAAAUUCCCUUUAAGGCUUUUUUGUAGAUCUGAUGAAUUCGUUAGCUUGCUGUUAAUUUCAUUAACUCCUCUGAGGAGAAUUUCAAAGCAUUCUGGACUCAAGGUAGUUGCUUUGCUUAUUAUUACACUGUACCAGAUAAGCUGGGAACAUGACUUCCCAGUGUAAAAUGCCUUGGUGUUAACGCGGGAUAUAUUAACCUGCUUGGCACAAAGUAGGUAGACUUAGUUGGCUGUACCUUCAUGCACUUCCCCAACUAUUGAGCGUUCUGUAAGUGGUUCCAAUCUUAACAGUGAUCUUUCCACUCCACUUGUGCUAAGCAUUGGCUAAUUCUAAAUUCUGUGCUAAAUUUUCUGUGGUUAAAACUUCAGUGUCAGAUUUGCAGUAUCUUAGAGUGCAGAUGAUAGCUCGUGAAGUACUCACUGUAAGUGCUGAUACUACUUAAAUGAAAAAAGUAGCAUGUUGUGAAAUACUGAUAACAGGUAACACUGUCUGGAACAUUCAGUGCACUGAAUAGUGACUCAGCUGGUUUGGUGAAUGCUUUUUAUCUUCCCAGAAAAGUUUGGAGAUUGAUAACAUGCUAAGACAAUGAAUUGUUACUCAGGAAACUCUGAAUUGGCAGUUCCUGCACUGCAGACCAGGUAUUUGGGAGUACUUGUGUUGGAUAUUGAGCUUAAAAACAGCAGUCCCACUGCAAUUUGCUUUAAGUAGUACUAAAUAAUGCCUGUGUUUUCUGCAGGGUGUUCGUGGGACACCCACAAAAACGGAAGGUGGCUGAGAUGGGGAAUUCUGAACGUAAACAUUAAAUUAAUUUUUUCAGUUUAUUUUUCAGAUGACAUGUCAUUCUUUAUUAAAGAGAUGCUGGUGCAUAUCCUAAAGUAUGUUCUUUUGUAGUUCUGUAACUGAAGAGUGAAGGAUGCUGAUGUCCUUGUACCUUACAGAGGUUGUCUUUUGGUACCCUGUUUUGUACGUAAGCUACUGUUGCUAGUAUAGAUGAGUUGCAAAAACAAUGACUAUAGUAAAUAUAUAGAGAGGAUUUGGCAGUUUUCAAAACAUCUGAAAGCUUGGCUAAAUCUGGCUUGGUUGUAGCUGCAUAAGCAGAAUUUCUAAAAUGAGUUCUGCUUUGAGUUGCACGUAUUCAACAGGCAUUACAAUUAAAUAGCCAACUUCAUUUCAAGACUUUUUAAAGAUAGUGUCUUAAAAGCUGGCAAACACGUCAAUGCUAAAAUGUGUUAAAGUUAUUAAAUGUGGGAGGUGAGAAGGUCAUGUUCCUUUGAUCUGUUCCUAUGAGGUUUUGGACUUUUUUCAGAAAAUCAGAUUGAUAUAACUGAAUCUUCAAAACAAUUAAGAAAAGUGCUUGGCUGGUCAGACCUGUUCCUGGAUGGUCUGGCUUGCAUAACCUAUUUUUGUACUGGACUUGGAGGACAUUGGCUGUUGCAAUUUAGCUUUGUUUUAACAAAAUUUGAGCCCUUUUUGACCCUUGAUAUCUAAAAACUGCAGCAUGUAGAAACUGGUAUCUUCAUAUCUUCACACUUUCUCAAAUGAAUAUAGAAUAAUCCUAUCUUCUGGUGUAGACACGUUACACUAAUCAUGUAUACAGCUGACGAGAACCUGAAACUGCUUUUGAGAUUUUGUGGUAUUUUUGUGGUAGAAAAAUUCUUGGCUUCUCCUUGGCAACCAUUUAUUGUGGCAGCAAGCUUUUGCUGGAGUUUCUGAGACUGCAAUUUACACUUAAAACUAGUGGCCUGCUACAUAACUGCACUUAGCCAGCAUUUCUGCAGUUCAUAACUGUGAGGAACGUAGUACCACAAAUGGCAAUGGACAUUAGGACCCGGAUGUAGUAUUCCUGCUUGCUCCAAGAUUCUCAUUGCCGACUGCAUACAGGUGAAGAUGCGAGCUGAGUGAAACUGGCGUGCUCAUCCAUGAGAAUUCAGGAGCUGAGCAUGAGCACAUCCAGCGUGAUGUCCCAUGAUAUGUGAAUGGACCAAGGUACCAAGUGAACAAAAGAAGAUGAAGCCCAAAUGCAGUGAAGAGGAGCCAGGAACAUUCUGGAGUUUUUAAAAAUAAAGUAUUUAAAUUUUC